GGGCGGCCGAUGUCCGAUUAGCUUGUUGGUGGGGUAAUGGCCCACCAAGGCGACGAUCGGUAGCUGGUCUGAGAGGAUGAUCAGCCACACUGGGACUGAGACACGGCCCAGACUCCUACGGGAGGCAGCAGUAGGGAAUAUUGGACAAUGGGCGAAAGCCUGAUCCAGCAAUGCCGCGUGAGUGAGGAAGGCCUUAGGGUUGUAAAGCUCUUUCGGCGGGGACGAUGAUGACGGUACCCGCAGAAGAAGCCCCGGCUAACUUCGUGCCAGCAGCCGCGGUAAUACGAAGGGGGCGAGCGUUGUUCGGAAUUACUGGGCGUAAAGGGCGCGUAGGCGGCCAUCUUUGUCAGGCGUGAAAGCCCUGGGCUCGACCCAGGAAUUGCGCUUGGGACGGGACGGCUUGAGUUCGGGAGAGGAGAGUGGAAUUCCCAGUGUAGAGGUGAAAUUCGUAGAUAUUGGGAAG
rnacentral:rRNA from 1 species